CUUAGAGAAGUUGGUAUUAGAGUUUUGAUUUAUAGUUUUAACUAUGUGGUUUAAUAUAGAUAAAGCUUCAGUUCAUAAAAUGCAAUUUGGUAAUUAUAGAAAUGGAUGAGUUGAGAGUAAUGAUACUCCAUUAUAUUAUUUAUAAGUGAUACAUAAUUUCUAUUAGAAAAUUUUUUGGUCUCCUUAUUGGUGCUAGAAUUUCUAUUGAGCAGAAAGGUGUGUGUGUCCCUAGCC
rnacentral:lncRNA from 1 species